GUUUUUUGUUUCAUUUCAUUUACAUUGGGAAAUAGAGAAACGAUCAUUGUGUUUUGUUAGUUUUAAAAACUUUUGAUAUAUUAGUAUUUUGCAUUAUAAGCAGUCAACCGAUUGACAAACUAGAAUUAUUUGAAUUCCGUGUGGAAAGAGCUCGGGUUAAUUUCGAGUGUUAUCUGCAAUCUAGAUGUUUAUAAAUCAUUUCAGUCGUUGAUAUAAUAAUUAAAGGUCGACUGAACAUGAAUUAUAUUAUACAAUUUAAAGCGCAUUUCUGUUUAUGCACGUGAACCCGUCUAACGUUAUUUUCGCAGUUAUAUAAAGUAUCAAAUUAUCGUUCCUGAAUAGGUGGCGCCGUGGUAGCGGAUCCUGUUCCUCUUCUUCCGGUUUCUGCACUGUGCAACUAUUUCAGUUAUAUUUUAAUUAACGAUGCCAAGUACUUGUUGUUGUGUACCUGGAUGUCAUUUAAGAGGAGGACAUGCAUUUCCAAAUGACUUAAAAAGAAGGAAAAGUUGGAUCAACGCCAUGGCCCAUACGCAGAUUGGACGAGAACACGAUGAUAUCGUGGAGUCCAUCUCAAUCAGCUGUUGUUUGCAAGGCACGUUUUACUGAAAAAGACUACGUGCAGGAAACUAUUCAUGGGCGCAAACCCACCAUACAGAGACUUAAGUCUACUGCAAUUCCCAGCCUAUUUUCCUGGACCAAGCAAGAGACUGAAUUGUCCGCAAAAAGAAAAAUCAGGGCAGUUUCCUGUGAAAACAAAAGAACUAAACUUGAUGAAUAUUGUAGUAGAAAUCUAGAGGAAAGUUUUGAUUGUAAAGUUGGUUUUCCUGAAGAAGUCAUUCAUACUGCAGAAAGGAUUUAUGACUGUCCACCACCAACUGCCGAGCUAAUGUUGAGCUUCACAGAUGGAAUUACGCAAACACCAUCAAUGCCUAUGUUUUUAACAGAGAAUUUUGAAAUGAAGACACGUGACACAGCCAUGCAUUUUUAUACCGGUUUAGAGUUGUAUACUAAAUUUUUAUUUGUUUUGACCACACUUGGUCCAGCAGCACAUUGUUUGAGAUACAUAUAUUUUCAAAUUGAUAGGGUGUCAGUUGAAAAUCAGUUUUUUUAUGACUUUGAUGAAAUUGAGGCAUCAUACAACCAACUUUGAACUGUCUAGAUUCUAGAUUGAAUCUAGUGAUAAGAAUAUUGUGUAUACAUGGAUUGUUUUUAUGUCUAAACAGUGGUGUGAGGCUAACACUUGGCCAUCUAGUGGUUUAGUCAGGUAUUUUUCACCAUCCAACUUCAAAUUAAAGUUUCCUACGACUUGGAUUAUUAUUGACAGCCCAGAAUAUCCCGUGAUAAAACCUAAAGCUCCUAGAGCUCAGGCAACCUUUUCAUCAAAUAAAAACAGAAACACUGAAAAUUCUUGAAUGUUCGACACCUGGUGGUUUAGUCAACUAUGUCUCUAUGUCACAUAGAGCGAAUUAUUGGACUUGGCAAAACAUACAAAAUUCUAAUAAAUCCUAUGAAUGGAACUGAAACAAAACUUUCAUCUGAAAUAACAUUUAGUUGUUUUAUGUUGUGUAAUUUUAGAACUUGUAUUGUGCCAAAGGAUGCAUAAAUAAAAGUGACGCAAUGAA